UAGUUUCAUAUUUUAGUUUCAUGUCUUCAUGCUUGGGAACCUAACUUCUCAGUUUAGGAGAGCUUAUUAUAGGGAAAAAGACUGCCUUUUAUGAAUUCAAUCUACACAUCUUCUAAGCACAUCGUUAUUGCUAUAUCUCAAGGUUAUCAUGAAUAAAGAGGGCACAUUGCGGGCAACUUCUGGUGUUGAGGAUUUGGCAUUACUGAAGACAACAUAAGUAAGCUACUUUCUCAUAUCAAAGAAGUUUGUUUGGAUUGAAAAAUGCUAAAGUAACUAUGUCAAAUGGUAUUAAUAACAGCCAUCUAAGGGUUUGUAUAUAUGCUCGAAUGUAAUUUUUUUGUUUAUGUAUGCCUACUGUUAUGGAGACUUUAUUUA